UACGUAGGGGGCAAGCGUUGUCCGGAAUGAUUGGGCGUAAAGGGCGCGUAGGCGGCCCGGUAAGUCUGGAGUGAAAGUCCUGGCUUUAAGUUGGGAAUUGCUUUGGAUACUGUCGGGCUUGAGUGCAGGAGAGGUUAGUGGAAUUCCCAGUGUAGCGGUGAAAUGCGUAGAGAUUGGGAGGAACACCAGUGGCGAAGGCGACUAACUGGACUGUAACUGACGCUGAGGCGCGAAAGUGUGGGGAGCAAACAGG
rnacentral:rRNA from 1 species